AUACGUAGGGGGCAAGCGUUAUCCGGAUUUACUGGGUGUAAAGGGAGCGUAGACGGAAGGCCAAGUCUGAUGUGAAAGCCCGCGGCUCAACUGCGGGACUGCAUUGGAAACUGGUCAUCUGGAGUGCAGGAGGGGUAAGCGGAAUUCCUAGUGUAGCGGUGAAAUGCGCAGAUAUUAGGAAGAACACCGGUGGCGAAGGCGGCUAUCUGGACAGUAACUGACGCUGAGGCGCGAAAGCGUGGGGAGCAAACAGGAUUAGAUACCCUGGUAGUCCACGCCGUAAACGAAGAAUACUAGGUGUAGGGGGUAUCGACUCCCUCUGUGCCGCAGUUAACACAAUAAGUAUUCCGCCUGGGGAGUACGGCCGCAAGGUUGAAACUCAAAUGAAUUGGCGGGG
rnacentral:rRNA from 1 species